UACGUAGGGACCAAGCGUUGUCCGGAUUUAUUGGGCCUAAAGCAUCCGUAGCCGGUUCUACAAGUCUUCCGUUAAAUCCACCUGCUUAACAGAUGGGCUGCGGAAGAUACUAUAGAGCUAGGAGGCGGGAGAGGCAAGCGGUACUCGAUGGGUAGGGGUAAAAUCCGUUGAUCCAUUGAAGACCACCAGUGGCGAAGGCGGCUUGCCAGAACGCGCUCGACGGUGAGGGAUGAAAGCUGGGGAGCAAACCGG
rnacentral:rRNA from 1 species